AUGAAAGCCUCCUCUUGAAACAACCUCUCUAUACAAGUUGAAAAGGUCCAGGCGUUUUGCAUUAAGGAUAGCAUCAGGAAACUCAGACAGUCCACCUUGUGGAACAAGUCGACUAUGUCCGCGAAGGAUCAAAAACUGCAUUACAUCCCUCAAAAAUUCCUCCUCUGAGCAAACUUGUAUAGGUGCUCUGCCACAACCAUGUUUCUUAAGAGGCAAUGGAUUUAGAGAAAUAAUCUGCUGAGCCUGAUAAGAGCUUGACAGAGAUUUCCGAUGUGAUACAGGAGCUGGGCCAAUAACACCAUGCUUUGCAGGCGCAAUUGGCAAAUUAGGCUUCCCUUGAUCUCCAGUAUAUCUUUCACCCUCAGUAAAUCCAGAAAAAGGCAACAACUUAUGAUGCUUAGUGUGAGGGAUUGGCCUCAUUGCAGCAACAUUUAGUUUUUGUGCAACAUUUCCUCCAUUUUCAUAUUCAAGGCCAGUAGAACUGAAGGGUUUAGUUUCUCUGCAUGGCUCAGAUCUUUUUCGACGAGGUGCAGGAGCUAUCAACCAGCAAGGAGGCUUGGUGAGAAUGAAAUUAUUAGCAUAGAUCUCUUUGCCUUGAUUUGAACAAAAGAAAAGGAUGCGCUCUGCAUCAUCUUUCUCAAAGGAAGCCACAGACAAUCCCUGAAUGCUAGCAAUUCCUAGCAUAACUAAGCUGCGGUAAGAUACAUCUGGUGCCAGUUGCCGCAAAACCUGUGAUGCCCAUCUAGGAACCUUCAACGAAACUUCAGAAACACUUGCCCCACAAGCUAUAGAUGCAGACUUCCGAGGCUCAGAAGUAGGCGAUUUGCUUUCCUCAGAGGUUGGCAGUGCAUGGACUAGCUGACUAUUCUCUAUAAGCUCAUUCUUUAUAUGAUUCUCCAAAAGCUGAUCGUUAAAACAAGUCUGUGCACUGCCAGAUACUAGAAGUGAUAUAUGAGCUGAACUAGAUGUAGAUAAAUCACAUCGCAUGGUCACUACACCACGAGAAAAUGUUCCUGCCUGUAGAGGAGGUGGUGGAGCACUUGUUCGAUUAUGAAGUUUACUCCCACGAAUUUCAAUGUUUAAGAGAGCAUUUAGUCCAUCUUCCAAUGAUCCCAAUAAGCACGCAUCCAGUGUGCAUGGAAGCCCACAAACAAGAAAUUUCAUGGUCACAUCAUCAUCAUAUAUCUUUAUAGCGGGAAGGGUCCCAGAAGAACUUUCUUCAUCCUGAGUAUCUGCCUCAGGUAGAGUAAUAUCAAUCUUUGGUGGAUCCCCAAGCAAGCGUGGUCCAGGCUUACCACUAGGUCCAGGUUUACCACUAACUUUCUGGCCAUUGGAAGUUAUGACAUUGUUGUUUCUUACACAGAAAAGACUAAAAGAUGCAUGGGCAAGUUGGAACGCAUCACAUGUGUGGCUGCAGGAACUUUGUACAACAGACAACAAAGCUUGACGAAAUUGACAAGCUGCAUAACAUGAAAGCGUACUUUUCCAAUAUAUGACAAAGGGAACUCCCUUGAAGUGAAGAGCCUCAGCCACUUUUUCACCAUUUGGAAUCUCUAAAUAAACUGUGGCAGGCAAUGUGGAACCAAAUAAUUCACAUAAGGCUUCUGAAGUGGACAAGUCAACAUCUCCCCAUCUCAGGGAACCAAUUUCUUCACCAUCUUCAAUUAUCUCUCCUUGCAAGUACACAAUAUUGGGCUCUGACGACUGAAGCACUUGCCGGAAUUCAUCAGUGCCAGGAUUAGUAAGUAAUUGGACCUCAAGACGCCCUUUAGAAGAAAGCUCAGGAAAAGGGUAUCUGGGUUUAUCACCAGAGGGAGGCUGCUUCUGCUUACUAUCAGGGGUUUUGCUAGAGAGGACUGCAAGGAGACUGCAAUGAUUCCUUGAAGGACCUUGAGCAUGAAACAUCAUGCAUACAUGCCAAGACCCCUCAAUAUAUAUUCAAGAUUAAGAGAGUAACCACUUCCCCGGAUAGCAGAGCCAAUUGCACCAAUGCCUCCCAAAACCUUGAUACCGCUACACAAUCAAAUCAACAACAAAACCCUACAAUUCACUAGAAAUCUAUGGAUCCCAGAUUAAAAAUUUCAGCAAAAGCCCAAAACUUUAGCAAAGGAACCCUUAAAAGCAGACCUAAAAAACAGUCUGAAAUUGAAGAGAACCCAAGGACCCAGAUGAGAAGAAGAAGAAUAAAAUCUAGCAAUCUAAAUGGGUUAAACGAGGCAAAACUACGGAAUUAGAAGAAAAAAAAAAAAAGAAAACCCAGAACUGAAGCAACCCAAGAACAGAAUCGAAAACCAAAAACUGGAAGGAGAAUAACAAGAGUAAAGUCAAGGAACCCUAAAUAGCACUAGUAAUAAAGAAAUCUCAUGAAAACCCGAAAGGACAUCUCUUUCUUUCUCUAAUAAAAAUCUCCCUCACGCACCGAACCAAAAAAAAAAAAAAUCAAAAUCUCAUUUCAAUUUCAUUAAACUUUGUUCUUCCACAAGUUCACCAUUUGGACCUCUCUUUUUCCUCGCAAGAGGCAAGUCAAAACAAAUUUCUGUUGCCUCAGAAAAAAAAAUGAAGAAAAAAAAAAUAAAAAACCACAGCCACAUAUUGCACAUCAACAAAAAAGCAAGAAAACAGAUCUAGACCAGCUCAUCCAAAAGCAACAGCUCAUGUGAAACAACAUGAGCACGUGAAACAACAUGAGCACCAAUUAUCUUAACCAGUAAAAAGAAAUGGGGAACACCCAUAAGCAUAAAUCAAGAAACGCAAUGAGAGCAAAAAUUGAAGUACAAACCUGACCAAGAGGAAUUCAGAGAGAAAUGGAAGAGAUGGUGGGGGAUGCCAAAGCUAAGUUGCCAAAUUGCCAAAUGCAAAUGAAAGCUAUGAAGGACGAGAAGAAAGUGGUGAGGCUAUAUAAAGAUAGAUUUAUCAGUACUAAAAGAUGAAAAUAGUGUGAGAGUAAGUGUGGGGGUGGUGUACCAGCUGGAAAUGGGUAUCAUAAAUUUACACGAUAUCUUAGCAUGGGGGUGGUUGUUUUCACUUCCCAAACAUGAGAU
rnacentral:misc_RNA from 1 species